rnacentral:rRNA from 1 species
AUUGAACGCUGGCGGCAUGCCUAACACAUGCAAGUCGCACGCGAAAGGGGGCAACCCUGAGUAGAGUGGCGGACGGGUGAGUAACGCGUAGGAAUCUACCUGGUAGUGGGGGACAACCCGGUGAAAACCGGGCUAAUACCGCAUACGAUCCACGGAUGAAAGCAGGGGACCGCAAGGCCUUGCGCUAUCAGAUGAGCCUGCGUCGGAUUAGCUAGUUGGUGAGGUAAAGGCUAACCAAGGCAACGAUCCGUAGCUGGUUUGAGAGAACGACCCGCCACACUGUGACUGAGACACGGCCCAGACUCCUACGGGAGGCAGCAGUGGGGAAUAUUGGACAAUGGGGGCAACCCUGAUCCAGCAAUGCCGCGUGUGUGAAGAAGGCCUUCGGGUUGUAAAGCACUUUCGGUGGGGACAAACAAGGUGGAGCUAACAUCUCCGCCUCUGAUGGUACCCAAAGAAGAAGCACCGGCUAACUCUGUGCCAGCCGCCGCGGUAA